AACUGCUUUUAUGUGGGAAUAAAGUGGCGCACGUGUGCGCCAUUGCAUGUACCUCAUGAAUAAGGACCGGCUAAUUCCGUGCCAGCAGCCGCGGUAAUACGGAAGGUCCGGGCGUUAUCCGAAUUUAUUGGGUUUAAAGGGAGUGUAGGCGGUCUGUUAAGCGUGUUGUGAAAUUUAGGUGCUCAACAUUUAACUUGCAGCGCGAACUGUCAGACUUGAGUACACGCAGCGCAGGCGGAAUUCAUGGUGUAGCGGUGAAAUGCUUAGAUAUCAUGAGGAACUCCGAUCGCGAAGGCAGCCUGCGGGAGUGUUACUGACGCUUAAGCUCGAAGGUGCGGGUAUCGAACAGGAUUAGAUACCCUGGUAGUCC
rnacentral:rRNA from 1 species